UACGUAGGUGGCAAGCGUUAUCCGGAUUUAUUGGGCGUAAAGGGAACGCAGGCGGUCUUUUAAGUCUGAUGUGAAAGCCUUCGGCUUAACCGGAGUAGUGCAUUGGAAACUGGGAGACUUGAGUGCAGAAGAGGAGAGUGGAACUCCAUGUGUAGCGGUGAAAUGCGUAGAUAUAUGGAAGAACACCAGUGGCGAAAGCGGCUCUCUGGUCUGUAACUGACGCUGAGGUUCGAAAGCGUGGGUAGCAAACAAG
rnacentral:rRNA from 1 species